AGAACCAGCACAUUCGAUCAAAACCAGCGUGAAUCUUGUCGCUCGUGUGGCCAACAGCAGAAUUAUACGUCUUCUUCAUGUCUUAAGUGCUGGAAGGUGAGAGAGAGAUGGAAUCUGUGACCAAGAAAAUUAAAGCUUCUUUAUACAUUGAAGAUAGCUCCCCUAAGGUUCUCGUCAAUACGGUACCAGAACGUUUAAGUUCUACCACUGUAAAGAUGGAAGAUCCGCGAUUCGGAAUGUCAGAACUGUGUGGUUUAACAGACAGCCAGGCAGCAGAUGCGCUCGAAGCUUUUGUAUAAUCAUCCUGCGGUGAGGGUGAAUCCACCACAUCAUGUACACUAGAAGGUGCCUGGUUAGCAGAGCCCAUGGACAGAACAAGUGACACCUGAGGUGUCCCAUACAACACGCCAGAUUCUCCACUACCACUGUACCCUGAGACAGCAGUCUGAAGGUGACCCAUUGCAGCCAGAAGCGCCUCAAGCUGUUCGCGGACCACAGCCAACUUCUCGUGCAUCCACAUACAGGAUUCACACACCCUAAUCAUCCUAGUAAGACUAACUGAGAAGCAAACUAUACAGCAGAUAGAAUCCCAGAUAUACAACUUGUUACCCUCCUGAUGUGUCACAAAUGGGUAUUGAUGCAUUAAUUAGCUAGCUGUUCAGCGAGCAAUUCUGUGCUACAGGCUAAAGGAUUUUUUUUCCUACAAAAAUGUGAAAUUAAACCUUUUAAAUAGAGCAGCAUAUGCUAAAUUUAGUAAAUGUACUACAAGGAAAAGAAGGAAAUUUAUGAAGACUUAACUUAUUGCUCUUUAAGAUGACUGGUAUGUUGUAUUUAUAAUAAAUGAAAAAGGAAAUGACAUGACAACUGGCUUUUAUUCAUCUUAUAUUUAAAUUAAGAUUUUAAUUGUUAAAAAUCAGAUAGUGUUGAAACUAGUGAGGGCAAAAAUAAGAAUGAAACCUUCACUUUCAAGGAAAUGUCAGUGUUCUGCCACAGCAACAGUUGUGACCUUCAUAGCACCCAACAGACCUGGUGGGCAGAGAUUGGUAUGCAACCAGUCCAAAAAUUAUUGGCGUCAGUAGCUUCCAGUGCAUUAAAAUGCCCUGGGAAAAAUAAAACUUCAAAUCAGUUACUAAAUCAGUUUGUGAAUUCCACAUCAUGUCACACAUAAAUACAUCCAUCCUGAGGAAUAUUUUUAUUGCCGUGAUGCUUGUAGAUGACUAUUUUCAUUCUUUGUUUUAUGGUAGAAGAAAAUGAACCUUUCUGUUAAGCCACUGAUUUUAAUUGAAAUUAGUCUUAUGUUAACUCCUAAUUCAGGUCAGUUGGUAUCUCACUUUUUGUUUGCUAUAGGUUACAGUAUGGACCCGUGUGAAUUGGUAAUACAUUGGCAGCACUGUGUCUUCUUACCUUUUAUGCUGUGUGACAGGCUUUACAGUGCAUCAUAACGAAAAGGCAAGAUACUGACCAUGCCCAACCCAUUUACAACUGCUGCCUGCUCCACUCAUACCAUCAUACCAACAUGCAUCUCACACUGUUAUUGUAUUAUUAUUUAUUUCUAUUCCUGUCUUCAUUUUAAUCUCAUCCAGUUUUCUUAUUGGUCUUAUUUACAUCUUGAUGUCUUACUACUGUGCUUCAUGUAGCUUUAUCCUUCCUUUGCUAUACUUAAUCUGGUUUUGUCUUUUUCCAGUUUUCAGAAUAUUCCCAUAUGUUUUAAUGCUCUGUUACUAUUUUUUAUUUCUUGACAAUCCAUUUUUGUUUCUUCCAUCUGUGUAAAUACAGAAAAGUUUCCCUACCCCUAUACCGAACCCACUCCCACAUAACUGUUUCUGUGUUGCUGCUUAGUUUGUGGAAUUGCUCCCAAAUAGCUUUCCACAGUGAUUCUAUGUUAUAAUUCAUUCCACAGCCCUCACCAACUCAGCCCUACACAAUAUGUAACUGAGUCCUAAACAUUUUCUCACUACCUCAUCACUGCCUGUAAAAUAUUUCCACUCUGAUGUACCAAUUACCGCAUCACAAUGCCAAAUUUGAAACACACGUACUGCAGGAACAAGAGCAGCAUGCCCAGUGCCACCUUAAAAACUGUAAAGUCUAUUCACUUUGUACACUUAUAUUGGACUACCACAAUCCAGCACCACUACAAAAACCUCUGUCAAACCUCCUUUACAUCAGUUAAUAGAUGCCUGAUCCCAUCUUGCACAACUACAUAUGCUACAAUCUCACAAGCUCCCGCCCACCAUCCUACCGAACCCAGCACCUAAACAGUCCUGUAACAUAGUAGUGAACCUCUCCUCCAAAAGCCUCAUUUCAAAGGGCCUUAUCUUUUGCCACAUUCACAAAUUCAGUCAUUCUGAGCUUCUUAAAGACCUACUCUCCUCCCUAAAGUGGAAACACUUUUUUGGUACCAACUCAAAACUAGUACUGAACCCAGCCUUACUUGGUAUACUCUUCCAUCUACCUGUGAUCCUACAAUACAUCUCUCCCCUCCACCUUCACUCCCCCCAUCCCAUUUCCUGGAUCAUCCUGUAACCUCAAUUUUUGUCUCAUCAUCAUUCCUCCGAACUCCCAUACACAGAGAGAAGCACCGUCUGGUGCUUAAAAACUGAUUUCCACCUUAAAAUCACUUCUAACAGAAUAUAUUUCUGAAUAAAUAAAGAAUAUUGUUUGUGACUGCAGCGCACUUUCUGCUCCACCUGUAUAGUCUUUGUUAGGGUGUGGAGUACAUGGACAAUUUAAAAAUUGGCUCAUUCCAUUUCAAGUGUAAUGGAAGUCUCUGCUUUACCAUUUGUGAAUGUAAUGAAAUUUUAUCGGAAGGUUCCACAAUGUCUUCAAUGGAUAUGUACUAAUAUUCAGCUCCAUAUCUCCUUUGGUUCAUUUCUACAGCCUCUCAUGAAUAGGGUUCCCGAGUUUGCACCACAUACACACGUGCCAAAGUGUGAACUUUGGAUAACUUUUGUGAAAGGUACUUUCAGUUUACAAGCCCUUGCUUUUGUACACUUAAACAACUUUUUGUGCUGAAUUAGAAGACAUUAUCUUUGACAUUUUUAAAUGCAAACUGCAAGAGCCGUAAGACUACAAAAAUGACUGAAAAUUCAUUGUGUGAUUUUGAGAGCCCAUCUUUAACCAGUCACAAUUCACAAUUUAAUCAACAGAUUUGGCCGACAACUGUGUUGUCUUCUUGUGCUUUUUGUUUGGUAGCCUUGGGCCUUUUCUGUCAAAUUAUAUGCUCCUACCAAUUUGGUGUAAAUGUUUUGGGUGCCAAAUUUGUGUAGUUUUUGGAGUCUGUAUCUCAACUGUAUGUUCUUUAAUCUUUAUAAUCUUUCUGUAUCUAAAAAGAGAAGCCUUUCAACUUCAGAGGCACUUAGCUUAAUUUUUGACUCUUGCCUGCCUAUGACUGGAAAAAAAUUGCUCACAGUUAUUACUUUUCAUACAUAUUUUUAUGCUCAUACGUGAUAUUAAUGAAUAAACAAAAAGAAAAAUCAGUGAAACCUUUUUUCUGUCCAUAAAACUAGAAGUGUAGUUAUGUAUGAAUCAACUUUAAGCAAUAAGCAGCAAUAAAACAAAUGAAAAUUCAGAAUAUUAGAAUUCUAAACACAGGUGGAAUAAUUCUUUUUCACAUCAGAAUGAAUAAAUUGCUAUUACUGUCUUGUUCAUAUUCUGAGUAAAUGUAUUGGAUUCCUAAUGUUUUGGUGUUUUUAUGACUUUUAGACAUGUUUUGGAAUUGGUCUUCUCAAAAUUUUGUGAACUCAAGCCAAAGUAGUGCAGCUGGUACCAGACUUGUUGUAAUUAAUCUUACCCUAAAAAAUUGCGUUUUUAAACCCUUUGUAAAAAAAUCAAUAAAACCCAACUAUAUCUAAUAUGAAAAUUCAAUUGACAUACAAAAUGUUACAUAGUUAGCCUUAUAUGAACUAAAGAGAGCCAUAAUAUUUACUGAAGGCAAAUCUGUAGUGUCACAAGAAUUUAUUUUAUUAAUAUUGUGUUUUAACUUUUCUUGCAAUUUAAGAAAUGCAACUAAAAUAACAAUUACACUCCCAGCAAAAAGAAACUAACUUGAUGUAGAAUUGUCAUGAGAGUAAAGUACAAUUAACUACUUUUUGGAAGCUUGCAGAAAUUUGUAGAUCUUCACUAAUUUCUCAGUUCUUUUGUCUUCUAAAUGUUUUAUUAAUUUUGCCCAAAUGAACUGGCAGAUGGACAAGAUUCUUUCAGGUGCAUUGCUGGCAGGGCAUGAAAAGAGGCACUAAUAAAGUAGUUGUAAGAAUGGAUUAUUGUUUUGAAUAUAGUACAGUAAUAGGAAUUUAUAAUGAAUUGUUUAAUCAUCAAUCUGAAAAGAAAGCAAUAAAAUCCAAAAUCAGC